UACGUAGGGUGCGAGCGUUAAUCGGAAUUACUGGGCGUAAAGCGUGCGCAGGCGGUUCGUUAAGUUCGUUGUGAAAGCCCCGGGCUCAACCUGGGAACUGCAAUGGAAACUGGCGGGCUUGAGUAUGGCAGAGGGGGGUGGAAUUCCGCGUGUAGCAGUGAAAUGCGUAGAGAUGCGGAGGAACACCGAUGGCGAAGGCAGCCCCCUGGGCCAAUACUGACGCUCAGGCACGAAAGCGUGGGGAGCAAACAGG
rnacentral:rRNA from 1 species